ensembl:lncRNA novel transcript
CAGGUCUGACGGGGACUCCGGCUCGGAGCUGGGCCCCCGAGGCCGCCAGGGAGGGGGCCGGUGAAGGUUAUACGAGAGGCUCCAUCUGUCCUUAUUGAAAGUGCUCUUAACGCAGGGACCAGCCGUCUUGCUGACGCCUGGGCCACCGAGCACAGGGACAGGACGGGGUUGCUGGAGGUGCAAGCUGGGAGAAAGCAGAGAACUGACUCCAUGCAGAGUUGGGAUUAAGAGCCCCUGGACAAGGGGCCGAGGCAGUGAAGGACGUCCAUCACUCAUCUGCCACUAUCCUCCUCACAUUUAAUCCUCACAACACCCCUGUGAGGUUUAUCCGCUUCACCUGUUGCUGGGGAACACUGCUCUCCGGGGGACUUGGGGGACGACACUGUAAACAUGACUUCCUGGCCUGAUGGUGGCAGGGCUGUGUGUGCGAGUCACUGUCCAGGGACAGCACUGAGGUAGACCACGGUGACAUCGAGGAUGCCGCUGGGAGCUGUCACUGCAGGAAGGUUGGUGGGGAGGGAAGUCAUGUCACACCCAAGCAUCAGGGGAGACCCCCUGCCAGGUCAGGACCCUGAAGUCCAGGUCAAGAAUCUUCUACCUUGCUACGGUCCCCUGUGUUACCCUCCUGUGGUGAGAAGCGUGGGUGACAUGCCUCUUCCAAGUUGGACAGCUGCCCGCCAUGACUCCAACAAAUGUGGAGAUGACAAGUUGGCCAUCUAGCUCAAGCCAAGUGGACGCAGAAGCAAGCAACCGGGAAACUGACAGGACUCACACUAACUGGGCUUCUGG